GCAACCUCUAUUUUUGAGGACAAAAUAUAUUCUAGAAAGUUGAAAUAUAUCUGCUCAGAUAAACACACGUGAUUAUUUAAUUAACACAAUAUUAUAAACUCAAAUCUUGCUUUCACUAACAUGAGCCGGUGUCAUUUGCUCUCGAGGAUGGAGGGAGUAUAAACAGAAGUGUGUGGACGGUCAUCAGCCGGAGAGGCCCGUCUCACUGCACACAUCCUCCACGGCUCUCAAACAGCCUUAAUCCCAAACAUCC